CUCACUCUUGUGUAGCUGAUGUGUCACUUAUCUUCCCUUUCUUAUCAUGGAUCAGGCUUUGAGCUAUGAAAUGCUCUGUCUUAUGAAUAUGCAAAUAUGCUGAUAUCCACGGCGGUAAAUAUGUUCUGUGCUCUGAGAACAUCACUCAACAACUGCAUCCAACCUCAAGAGAAGCCCCUGAGAGCACAGCUUCUCACCAUGGACUUGACCUGGAAGAUCCUCCUCUUGGUGACAGCAGCCACAGGUGCCCACUCCCAGGUGCAGCUGGUGCAGUCUGGGGCUGAGAUUAAGCAGCCUGGGGCCUCAGUGAAGCUCUCCUGCAAGGCUUCUGGAUAUACCUUCACUAGCUACUACAUGCACUGGGUGAGACAGGCCCCUGGACAAGGCCUUGAGUGGAUAGGACUGAUCUCCCCUUACAAUGGUAACAAAGGCUACGCACAGAACUUCCAGGGCAGAGUCACCAUAACUACGGACACGUCCACGAGCACAGGCUACAUGGAGCUGAGCAGCCUGAGAUCUGAGGACACAGCCGUGUAUUACUGUACAAGAGACACAGUGUGAAAACCACAUCCGGAGAGUGUCAGAAACCCCAGGAAGGAGGCAGCUGUGCUGGCAUGGAGGAGAUGACAAAGAUUAUUAGAUUGAAGACUUUCUUAGAAAAUGACAUUAAGACAUUAAAGAAAAUGACCAAUAUCAAUGUGUAUUUGAGAAAUUUCAGUUAUUUGAGAUACUUAUCAUACAAAAUUUAUUCUGUAAGUAAAUUUCAGGGAUUGAAGAAUGAAUAAAAUUAACAAAUCUGAUACAGAACUUCCU